rnacentral:rRNA from 1 species
GCCUUACACAUGCAAGUCGAACGGCAGCACGGGGGCAACCCUGGUGGCGAGUGGCGAACGGGUGAGUAAUACAUCGGAACGUGUCCUGUAGUGGGGGGUAGCCCGGCGAAAGCCGGAUUAAUACCGCAUACGCUCUACGGAGGAAAGGGGGGGAUCUUAGGACCUCCCGCUACAGGGGCGGCCGAUGGCAGAUUAGCUAGUUGGUGGGGUAAAGGCCUACCAAGGCGACGAUCUGUAGCUGGUCUGAGAGGACGACCAGCCACACUGGGACUGAGACACGGCCCAGACUCCUACGGGAGGCAGCAGUGGGGAAUUUUGGACAAUGGGCGAAAGCCUGAUCCAGCAAUGCCGCGUGUGUGAAGAAGGCCUUCGGGUUGUAAAGCACUUUUGUCCGGAAAGAAAACGUCGUGGUUAAUACCCGUGGCGGAUGACGGUACCGGAAGAAUAAGCACCGGCUAACUACGUGCCAGCAGCCGCGGUAAUACGUAGGGUGCAAGCGUUAAUCGGAAUUACUGGGCGUAAAGCGUGCGCAGGCGGUUCGCUAAGACAGAUGUGAAAUCCCCGGGCUUAACCUGGGGAACUGCAUUUGUGACUGGCGGG